CGCGCGCCCGCCCGACGCCGUCGCCCUCCACGACCGCCCUCCGCCGUCCAGCGCUUCGUUUCGUCAUCCGCGGUAGCGCUCGGCACCCGGCCUUCAUGCUGCGCGCCACGGUCGCUCCAUGCCUUCCACCUCUGGGUUUCCCUUGCUGGCUGAUGCCUGAUUGCGCUUGCGCCUGCCUGCCUGACUGACGACGGCGCAGGAACCAGAGGACCUUCAGGCCCAAGAAGAGCGCGCCCUCGGGGAACAAGAUGUCAAGGUUUGGAAAAAGUCUUCAUCAGCGGUGGGAUGAAGACGACGAAUCUGAUGACGAUGACCUCCUAAUUCUUGAUGGUCUUAUUGAGGGCUCAAAGAGGAACAAGCAGAAGAAGAACUUUCGUGGAUCUUUGCCUAGUCGUCACAGCGUGCGGAGGGGCAUCUUGGGGGGUCAUGAUGGUAUAUUCCGGGACUACUUCGCGGACCCGUGCAUAUACAACAACAAGCAUUUCAGAAGGAGGUUCCGGAUGUCCAAGUCUCUCUUCCUGCAGAUCGUGGCUGCAGUGGAGUCUCACGAUGACUACUUCCUUUAGAAGCCCAAUGCCGUUGGAGCUCUUGGGGUUCUCCAAUCCAGAAGUCUAUUGCUGCCGUUCGGAUGCUUGCCUAUGGUGCUUCGGCUGAUUUCCUAGAUGACUGUGAGGAUGGGAGAGAGCACCAUCAUCAAGUGCCUAAAACAUUUUGUGAAAGCUGUCAUUGACGUUUUCAGUGAACAAUACCUGAGGGCCCCCGAUGCCGAGGACACAGCUAGAUUGAUGUCAUUAAUCAUGCAAGAGGGUGGCCAGGCAUGCUUGGCUCCAUUGACUGUAUGCACCGGAAGUGGGACAAGUGUCCGGCUGCUUGGAGAGGCGCAUACACAGGGCAUAAGGAUGGGCCGACCAUGAUUCUUGAGGCUGUUGCAUCUCAAGAUUUAUGGAUUUGGCACGCCUUUUUUGGUCUUCCUAGUUCUCUCAACGAUGUCAAUGUGCUUCGCCGUUCUCCACUUUUCUAGAGUCUGACUUCUGGGACAGCACCAAAAUUAGAAUACAUUGUCAAUGGAAACAAGUACAACAUUGGUUACUAUGUUGCCGAUGGGAUAUAUCCAGCCUGGGCAACUUUUGUGAAAGCUUUCCAUAGUCCCCAGGGGAACAAGAAAACCUACUUCACAAGAGCACAACAAUCAACGAGAAAAGAUGUCGAUAGGGCUUUUUGGGUACUCCAGUCUCGAUUCGCAAUGGUGCGGGGGCCUGCGAGGUUAUGGAGUAAGGAAGAUCUUUGGUAUAUCAUGCAAUGUUGUGUACUCCUGCACAACAUGAUAGUUGAAGAUGAGCGUGAGGAGCCCGACGAUUUUAACUACCAUCAAGAGCCAAACGGUAUCCGUGUGUUGAAGCCCAAGGACUACGAGCAUCAUGAUCCUCUUCUUCUAAAUGACUUCCUCAAGAUACACGAAGAAAUUGAGGACAGGUCGUCACAUGAGCGACUUCGUGAUGAUCGAGUAGAGCAUCUAUGGGCAAGAUAUAAUGCUAGGUAGUUUCUAUGGGCAAGAUAUAGUGCUUGUAGUUCUCAUGUAAUUUAUUCAUGUUAUAUUUAAUGUGUGAAAAUCAGAAUUCAGAUUCUUGUUCAGUUUGCCUUUGUGAAAAUCUGAAUGUUAUAUUUGGAUCUCAUGCUGAACUGGACUAAGUAUUACAGAGUUCUGAAUUCUGUACAUUUCUGAACUCUGUAAUACAAUAAAGCAUUCUGAAUUCUGAAUGUUA